rnacentral:lncRNA from 1 species
UCGCUCGGUCCCGGCUCUGUGGAAUAGUGGGGUGAGAACUACAACAAAGUUCCUAGUGGGUUCGGCCCCAAUCUCACCGACUUUCCCAUUAGGACUAACUCAGGCAUAAUAGAAAGGAUAAGCAGAAUAGUAACCCAACUAUAAUCAUGAUGCUAAUAUGUCUGAACAAUAAAGCAAGAAGUAUGCUCAACAUAAAUCAUGCAAGUACGCAAGUUCUUUGUUCUUUUAAGCUUUGUUUUUUGUUCUUUAAUCUCACGGCUAACCCGGGGGUUUCGCCACAUUAACUUGCCCACAUUAAGUCCAUCAUCGCGGGCCCUCAGCUGCCUCCCGCUAAGACCGUCCUCGGGUUUACUCCAACCCGUGAUGCAAAACUCCGGAGCGCAUCGCCCGAGGGGGAGCGACCUCCCUCGAGCACAGAACUCAUAGCAAGUAUGAUCGAUCCUUAACUCUAAGGAUAUAUAGUUCAAUCAUUGUCUUUACACUAACUCUAGUGUUCUUUACAUUACUUUAUUUUGCUAACUCUAGCAAUCAUUGUUCUUUAACUUUACUCAUUCUUUAUGCCACUUUCAUUUUCUUUUCUUGUCUUUAAUCAUUAUCAUUGUUCUUUGCGUCACAUUUCUCUUUGAUGCCACACAUACUAACUCUAGUGUCACUUUACUUUACAUU